CUCCAGUAUCCUUGCCUGGAGAAUCCCAUGGACAGAGGAGCCUGGUGGGCUACAGUCCAUGGGGUCACAAAGAGUCAGACACGACUGAAGUGACUUAGCACAAAUAGACACGUGGAGGUACAAGAAGGGUGCCCCUCCCCACAAAAAAAAGGCACCAGUGGGAACAAAGAUGGGGGUGUAUGUAGAAAGUGGAAGGGUUUGGACGGCCCAUUAGGUGAGCAGUCUCCAACUCCAGGGUCGUUCAUGCUGACUGGAGUGGUGGGAACAUGGAAGGAGUGAGUUCAAACAAAAAAAAAAAGAGAGAGAGAGAGAGAGAGCGAGAUCAGUUAGAGCCCAAUCACAAUGGACUGUAAGCCAACAGAAGGGUUUGCAUUUUAUUCUGUAAGCAAUAGGGAGCCAGUGAAUGUUCGUUGGAGGAGAGAUUCCAUCAGCAUUGAGUUCCGGAGUGAGUCUCCACAUGAUAUAUGACUGGCAGCCAGGAGCACAGCCAGGAGAUGGAAACAACAGGCUCAGGGAACAGGAUGACAGCCUGAGCCAGGGCGGUGAAGAUGGGAUGGAGAAGAGGAGACAGAUGUCAUAAUGACGCAGAGGAACAAUCCAAGCGUCUUGGUAGAGGUUGGACACUGGUGAUCACAAAGAUGCCUGCAAGGCUGGGGAGGAUGAUGGUGGCACCCUCAGAAGGAGGAGGGACAGCUUGGAGGGAGAAGACGACAGUUGCAGACCCAUGCUCUGGAUGGAUGAUUAGUCAAAGACCACUGCCAGGCACACAGCAAGAGGCCCUGAGAGAAGAGGUCCUCACUGAGGCAGAUGCUUCCCGGGAGAGAGACAGGAAGAUGAAGAGAGACAUAGGAGACCAGCAUUGACCCAGCUCAGCCCCUGCCAGAUGAAGAAUUCAAGGCUCAGAAAUGGACCUACUUGACCAAGGUCACACAAUGAGACACUGAUGGAGCCCAAACAUGAACAGCUUGCCUCCGAAGUCUUGGUCUUUCCCACCGUCUUCCAGGUCUAGCUUUCCUCUUCUCCCCUCUUCCUCUUCAUCCCAGAGACAGAAAACAAGAGACAGGCUUGUCUGCUGGCAAUGUUCCCUCUCUCUGAACUAGCCUCUCAAACAACUCUUCCCAGCAGCUUUCCCCGAGAUAAAGGCUUGAUGACAGAUCUGCCUGUUGACAAAAUCUGGAACAAAGCAGGGCAUCUUUUCUUAGCAGCAUCUAUUCCUCCUUUAACUCGUUUGAUAACAUUGUGCAGUGCAGACCUGCAGGGUUUCAAAGCGCUGUAAAUUCCC
ensembl:lncRNA